AUACUUACCUGGCAGGGGAGAUACAUGAUCACGAAGGUAGUUUUCCCAGGGUGAAACUUCCCCAUUGCACUACAGAUGUGCUGACCCCCUGAAAUCUCCCCAAAUGUGGGAAACUUGCUUGCAUAAUUUGUGGUAGUGGGGGACUGUGUUUGUGCUCUUCCCUG